rnacentral:rRNA from 1 species
CCUACGGGUGGCUGCAGUGGGGAAUAUUGGGCAAUGGAGGCAACUCUGACCCAGCAACGCCGCGUGAGUGAUGAAGUUCUUCGGAUUGUAAAGUUCUUUUCUAAGGGAAGAAGAAAGUGACAGUACCUUAGGAAUAAGCCUCUGCUAACGACGUGCCAGCAGCCGCGGUAAGACGUAGGCGGCAAGCGUUAUCCGGAAGGACUGGGCGUAAAGGGGGCGUAGGUGGUAGGACAAGUUAGUAGCGAAACUCCGGAGCCCAACUUCGGAACUACUACUAAAACUGUUGGACUGGAGUGCAGGAGGGGCAAUCGGAAUUCCUAGUGUAGCGGUGGAAUGCGUAGAUAUUAGGAGGAACACCAGUGGCGAAGGCGGAUUACUAGACUGUAACUGACACUGAGGCACGAAAGCGUGGGGAGCAAACAGGAUUAGAUACCCCAGUAGUC